UACGAAGGGGGCUAGCGUUGCUCGGAAUCACUGGGCGUAAAGGGCGCGUAGGCGGCCAGCACAAGUCAGUUGUGAAAUCUCCGAGCUUAACUCGGAAAGGUCAACUGAUACUGUGCGGCUAGAGUGCGGAAGGGGCAACUGGAAUUCUUGGUGUAGCGGUGAAAUGCGCAGAUAUCAGGAGGAACACCAAUUGCGAAGGCAGCUCGCUGGGACGUUACUGACGCUGAGGCGCGAAAGCGUGGGGAGCAAACAGG
rnacentral:rRNA from 1 species